CUAUGGUGUGUCAUCUGCGUU
rnacentral:siRNA from 1 species